GCCUAGGUAGCUCAGUCGGUAGAGCGCGGCCCUGCAAAGGCCGGCGUCGGCGCUUCAAUUCCGUCCCUAGGCA
rnacentral:tRNA from 1 species